rnacentral:rRNA from 1 species
UACGUAGGUGGCAAGCGUUGUCCGGAAUCACUGGGCGUAAAGCGCGCGCAGGCGGCGAUCUACGUCUGGGGUGAAAGCCCGGAGCUCAACUCCGGGACUGCCUUGGAUACGGGAUCGCUUGAGGAUUGGAGAGGCAAGGGGAAUUCCACGUGUAGCGGUGAAAUGCGUAGAGAUGUGGAGGAACACCUGUGGCGAAGGCGGCCGACUGGACACAUAUUGACGCUGAGGCUCGAAAGCAUGGGGAGCAAACAGG